UACGUAGGGUGCGAGCGUUGUCCGGAAUUAUUGGGCGUAAAGAGCUCGUAGGCGGUCUGUCGCGUCGAUCGUGAAAACUUGGGGCUUAACCCUGAGCUUGCGGUCGAUACGGGCAUGACUGGAGUUCGGCAGGGGAGACUGGAAUUCCUGGUGUAGCGGUGGAAUGCGCAGAUAUCAGGAGGAACACCGAUGGCGAAGGCAGUUCUCUGGGCCGUAACUGACGCUGAGGAGCGAAAGCGUGGGGAGCGAACAGG
rnacentral:rRNA from 1 species